rnacentral:piRNA from 1 species
GCGUGACUACUGAAGAAUGGUA